GACGAACGCUGGCGGCGUGCUUAACACAUGCCAGUCGAACGGAAAGGCCCUGCUUGCAGGGUACUCGAGUGGCGAACGGGUGAGUAACACGUGGGUGAUCUGCCCUGCACUUCGGGAUAAGCCUGGGAAACUGGGUCUAAUACCGGAUAGGAGCCAUUUUUAGUGUGAUGGUUGGAAAGUUUUUUCGGUGUAGGAUGAGCUCGCGGCCUAUCAGCUUGUUGGUGGGGUAAUGGCCUACCAAGGCGGCGACGGGUAGCCGGCCUGAGAGGGUGGACGGCCACAUUGGGACUGAGAUACGGCCCAGACUCCUACGGGAGGCAGCAGUGGGGAAUAUUGCACAGUGGGCGCAAGCCUGAUGCAGCGACGCCGCGUGGGGGAGGACGGCCUUCGGGUUGUAAACUCCUUUCGCUAGGGACGAAGCUUUUUGUGACGGUACCUAGAGAAGAAGCACCGGCUAACUACGUG
rnacentral:rRNA from 1 species